rnacentral:rRNA from 1 species
CAUGCAAGUCGAACGAGGUCCAUGGAGUAGCAAUACUCCGGAAGACCUAGUGGCGAACGGGUGCGUAACACGUGAGAAACCAACCCCGGUCUCUGGGAUAACAGGUGGAAACGCCUGCUAAUACCGGAUGCCGUCGUUUCCUCGCAUGGGGAGAUGACGAAAGGGCUACCGGAUCGGGACGGUCUCGCGGCCUAUCAGCUUGUUGGAGAGGUAACGGCUCACCAAGGCAUCGACGGGUAGCUGGUCUGAGAGGAUGAUCAGCCACACUGGGACUGAGACACGGCCCAGACUCCUACGGGAGGCAGCAGUGGGGAAUCUUGCGCAAUGGGCGAAAGCCUGACGCAGCAACGCCGCGUGCGGGAUGAAGGCCCUCGGGUUGUAAACCGCUUUUACCAGGAAGGAAACUGACAGUACCUGGAGAAUAAGGUGCGGCCAACUACGUGCCAGCAGCCGCGGUGACACGUAGGCACCAAGCGUUGUCCGGAUUUAUUGGGCGUAAAGAGCUCGUAGGCGGUUCAGUAAGUCGGGUGUGAAAACUCUGGGCUUAACCCAGAGACGCCACCCGAUACUGCUGUGACUUGAGUCCGGUAGGGGAGUGGGGAAUUCCUGGUGUAGCGGUGAAAUGCGCAGAUAUCAGGAGGAACACCAAUGGCGAAGGCACCACUCUGGGCCGAGACUGACGCUGAGGAGCGAAAGCGUGGGUAGCAAACAGGAUUAGAUACCCUGGUAGUCCACGCCCUAAACGAUGUACACUAGUUGUUGUGAGGCUAGACCUUGCAGUAAUGCAGUUAACACAUUAAGUGUACCGCCUGGGGAGUACGGUCGCAAGAUUAAAACUCAAAGGAAUUGACGG